GCAAAACCCAGAUAGAUUUCUGAGAGAUAAAAAAAAAAAAAAAAAGAAUUAGCGAUGGAAGCCCGAGCAGUUGUUCCUGCACAACCAAGAGGGGCAGUUAAGGUAAAGAAUGAACCAGCACAAGGAAGGAACCGGAGAGCUCUUGGAGACAUUGGUAAUUAUGGGGUUCAAGCUUUGGAUGGAAAGCCCAAAGCCCAGAUUUCUCGUCCCAUGACAAGGAGCUUCCGUGCACAACUGUUAGCAAAAGAACAAGGGACAGUAGAGAUAAACAAGAACCCAGUUGUGCCAGCUUUAGAUAAUAGAGUAGCCAUUAACAGAAGGCGUGUUACUGUAAAGAAGGUUGCAGAAGCUCAAAAGAGGGUAGAUGACAAGCCGAAUUCUGAUGAAUCCAAGGCUGCAACCACGACAACUUCUGAAGGAGAAAAAAUUGAAAGUGUUAGUGGAAGAAGGUCUAGAGAAGGGUCCUCAAGGAAGGAAGUGAAGACUCUCACAUCGAUCCUCACUGCUCGAAGCAAGGCUGCUUGUGGUGUUACUGUCAAGCCAAAGCCACAUAUUGUGAACAUUGAUGCUGCAGAUGUCAAUGAUGAAUUAGCAGUAGUUGAAUACAUUGAUGAUAUUUAUCAGUUCUACAAGCUAGAAGAAGGAGAGAGUCGUGUUCACGAUUAUAUGGACUCACAGCCUGAAAUUAAUGCAAGGAUGAGAUCAAUUCUGAUAGACUGGUUAACUGAAGUUCAUAGAAAAUUUGAAUUGAUGCCUGAAACCCUCUACCUUACCAUAAAUAUAGUUGAUAGACAUCUUUCUCGGACAUUUGUUUCAAGGAGAGAACUUCAGUUAGUUGGCAUUUCCUCAAUGCUUAUAGCCUGCAAGUACGAAGAAAUAUGGGCUCCACAGGUUAAUGACUUUAUCUGCCUGUCAGACUAUGCUUAUACAGGAGAGCAGAUACUUGUCAUGGAGAAAGCAAUUUUGGGGAAGUUGGAGUGGUACUUAACAGUUCCUACGCCAUAUGUUUUUCUCGUUCGAUUUAUCAAAGCUUCUGUUUCACCAGAUAAAGAGAUGGAGAAUAUGGUAUUCUUUCUAGCUGAGAUUGGUCUUAUGCAUUAUCCAACGAUAAUUUUGUAUUGUCCAUCCAUGAUCGCGGCUGCAGCUGUCUAUGCUGCCCGAUGUACCCUUGCUAAGAGCCCCUUUUGGAGUGAAAACCUUAAAGCAUCAUACAGGCUACUCUGAAGAACAGUUAAUGAAUUGUGCUAAGCUACUGGUUGACUGUCACAUGGCUGCUGCUGCAGAAAGCAAGCUGAGGGUGAUUUACUGUAAAUUCUCAAAUCCCGACCGAGGUUCUGUUGCUCUUUUCACUCCAGCGAAAUGCUUUCAGGCCACAUGAUCAUGAAGAAAUGAUCAGAAUCUUAUUCUAUACUCCAUACAUAUAAUAGUGCUGAACUGGAUAUCAGAAUCUUCUGAUUUGGUUGAUAUUUUUGAAUAUAUAGACGAGCAAUGUAUUCAGUAACAAAAAUCAUUUUCAUACAUUUUUAUACUUCAAAAUGAGUAGAAACUUUGAUUGGUAGA